UCCUACCUGGCAUGCCUACUGGUUAGGGCUUCGGACUUGUAACCGGAGGGUUGCCGGUUCGAACCCCGACCAGUAGGAA
rnacentral:tRNA from 1 species